AGCACUCGUCUUUUUGUUGUUUUUAUUCUUCUUUUCUUCUCGAACCUUCAGAUGAAACUCUCAGGCAGGUCCGGAUCAUGGUCCCGGUGAGUCCGACGCGUAAAAACCAAACAGUCUCCACUCCGCGGAUCAAUGAACUGGAUUAAUGAGUGAAUGUUACCGGGGAAGAAGGGAUCAGAGUCCUUUUCAUUCACUCUUUCUUCUUCCUCUCCUUCAGAGGGAACCUCCGAGCGCCGGCGUGCAGCUCCGGAUCAUGGUCCCGGCGUCUCCGGCGCGCACGGUCUCCUCUUCCCUCACUCUCCGGCUCUCGCGGGGAUCAGCGGAUCAGAGGAUGGAAGAGCUGCUAAUUUCUCCGACCGAGGACGGACAGCUCGGCCGUGAUUGAGCUCUUCUCUCCGGGUGCAGGAGCUCCGGACUCUCCGCUCUCACUCGGGCACCGCCGCCGGCUCUCCAUCCGAGGAACACAUCCCGGUCCCCGCGGCUCUCCUCCCGCCUGAUGGUGCCUCCCGGUGGGUCGGUGAGGGGGUGUCUGAUGAGGGAUCAACGGACCUAAAGGAGAGCAGUCAGACGGUCGGUCAGUCACUCACUCGGGGAGCGCGCGGCUCUCAGCAGCACGAGCUCGGCAAUGACAUUGGUGAGAUAGAAGAGCAGCAGCAGCAGCAGCAGCAGAGCCAAGUGUGUGUCGGUAUGUCGGCGAGCGCCUGCGUGUGCAUGGAUGUGUGUGCGUGUGUGUGUGUGUGCGGUGUCCUCUGCGCUCGAGAGAGAGAGAGAGAGAGAGAGGGAGAGAGAGAUUGAGUGAUAGCGCUGUUUGUUCAGCAGGAGGACAUUUCCUCUGCCUUUAUAGAGCUGAACACUCGGAACUGGACUUCAGAUUUCAGAAUGUCGAGAAUAAAGAGUCUGAGAUUUCUGCAUCUUCGCUCUUUUUAAAACAGCAUCAAGUCUUCAAACGUGGAGAAAAACCUACAGAAGUUUCCAGCAGAGAGCAGAAAAGAAGAAAAACUUCAGAAAUCAACAUUUUUCUUAAACUUUAACCCAAAAUCCUUCCUGCGAGAAAGAGUCUCCUCUUUCUGUCUCCGUGCGUAAAAACAUCUCCAACCGGAGGAACAAACUGACCUCAGCUUUAUUUUAAAGUUUAUUAGAAAUAAAAUAGAAGGUCUGAUUUAUCUCAGUUUCUUUUCUGUCUUAUUUUAGUGGAAGCUGAUUUUGGAAACAGAUGGAGAAGUGCAGGUUUGCGCCAUAAAAGGACGCAGACUCGGAGCAGUUUGCGUAAAUAAAAGAGUUUGUGUGUUUUUCUGUAUCUCUGAGCUCAGCAGCAGCUCCUCUCUGCUCCUCUCUGCGCUCACUGGAGCUCCGUGUGUGAUCAGACUCCCCAAUAAACUCAUAUUCAC